rnacentral:lncRNA from 1 species
UUCCGCUCAAGUUCCUCCGCCGCGACCUCAGGACAGGCCGAAGAGGCGCGCACUACUCACGUGUCUUCCAAGUGCUGCUCCAAGGUCGCCUCCAUCCCACCCACCGACCACUCCGGCUCAGAACCCAGCGGCACGGCACGUCCUUCUCCACCACAGGCCUCAGUCACUUGACGCGAGCGGGGCGUGGACCGUAACGGCGCCUCCAAAGGGACAAAAUUGAUCACGGUGCAACGUCCGCGUUCUUUACUGGAAAACAUCACUGCGCUUCCGUCGCACAGAGCCUGACGAAGGCUUGGGCUCCCCGCGCGGUGACCGUCGAGGUGACCUGCACCUGGCUCCAUGGCGGAACCGGCCGGCACGGAUUAUUCCCCUCUCGGGAGAGGUCUGCAGCCGGGCCUCAGUGCUUCAGUUCGUGGCCUGGCAUUUUGUGUCAGUGUUUUUUAACCUUUGGACCCUAGUUCAACCGACUCCGAGACCUAGGGGACAGAUCUUAAGUUUUACAAUAACCCAGGGGUCAGACAGGGUCUGAUCUAGCCUGUGGGGCAAGUACGGGGAAGACACGGGACCUCUUGGAGGGGGUCAGUAGGCUUGUAGGGGGAAAGACGCACACAGAGACUAAAGGACGAGAUGGAGCAAGGUUCAACCCCCUAGCUGAGUGUUGGCAGUGUCGGGAUUUUAACGAAGACAUUGGUGCUUAUUAUGGUGAGGGGACUCAGGACAGUUUAGGGGAAGAGAGUGGCAUUUGAGUCCUAACUCGUAAGGAAGACUGGGUAGGACUACUUGAAAAUAACUUUUAAAAAUUAAUUAUAAAGCUGGUAAAAAUAGGAAAACAUCUAUGGCCCCACUGUCCAAAGACGACUUUUAACUUCUUGGAGAAUAUCCUUUCAGAUAGUUGUCUUUGUAAAUGUAUACUUUUAAUGUUUUUUCGUUUGCCUUUUUAAAAUAAAUUUUUUGGGGGACAGGGUCUUGCUCUGUUACCCAGGCUGUAGUGCAGUAGAACGAUUAUAGCUCAUUGCAACCCGGACGUCCUGGGUUCAAGCUAUCCUCACCUCUCAGCCUCUCGACUGGCUAGGACCACAGCCUCGAGCCAUCAUGUCUGGCUAAUUUUUACGUUUUUUUGUAGAGAUGGGGGUCUCGCUGUGUUGUCCAGGCUGGUCUUAAACUCCUUGCUUCAACAGAUCCUCCCACUCCAGCCUCCCAAAAUGUGAUUACAGGCUGAGUCACCACGCCUAGCAUGGUUUUUUUUGUUUUGUUUGUUUUGUAAGCAAAAUUGACAUACAUACUGGAGGUACAAUUCUGUAGCUGGCCUUCUUUACAGAGUUUAGAAUAAAUGUCUUUCCAUGUCAAGUUUUCACUUACAUCCUUUGUAGUAGUUGCAAAAUAUUCCAUUUUAUAGCUGUAUCUUAAUUGUGGAUUAAGGUUGGAGUGCAGUGGCACUAUCAUGGCUUAGUCCAGCCUCAGCCUUCUAGGUUCAAGCGAUCUUCCCACCUCAGCCUCCCAAGAAGCUGGGACUACAGGGACCCGCCACCCCACCUAGCUAAUUAAAAAAAAAAUUGUAGAGAUGGAGUCUCAGUGUGUAGCCCAGUCUCAAGUGACCCUCCCUCGUUGGCUUCCCAAAGCGCUGAGAUUGCAGGAAGAGUGUCUUCAUCUCUGCAUCCCUAGUGCAACAGAGCAUGACAAAAAUUCAACAAAUAUUUAUUGAAGAGUCUUGAUGUCUUUUGGGAAAGGAACUCUAUGGUUACCUUUACUCUAAGAUUAGAUGGGUGUUACUGAUUCUUACCUCAGAGAAGAGAAUGUCAUGGAGACAAAAUGACCUGCUUAGAGUUCUGCACCCCCCAGCAUGGAGAGCAGAGCGCAAAGAUUUCUUCCGGACUCCCACAUUCCCCUUGGAAUCCAAGAACUGGUCUACUGUCACAACACUUUAGUACCCUCUUGUAAGCCUGUGGACAAAUCCUCUGAUGCCUUGAUACCUCGGUUUUCCCCCACUAUAAAUGGGAAGAUAAAUUCACUAGAAACAGUACUUACCUUGCAGUGUCAUUAUGAGAAUUUCAUGAGACAAUGCAAUAUAAAGCUCCUAGCACAGUUCCAGGCACCAUUGUAAGCACUGAACAAAUGAAAGCUGUUGUCAUUAGGAUCUCAAGAAAUGACAGCUGAGGCAAAUGUGGAUUAGACUGCAUUCAGCAUUCUUAGCUGCAAGCAACAGAAGCUGACGCUGGUUUAAAGAAUAGGAAAGGAAGUUAAUUAAAA